UACGAACCGUACAAACGUUAUUCGGAAUCACUGGGCUUAAAGGGUGCGUAGGCGGCCAUGUAAGUGAGGUGUGAAAUCCCUCGGCUCAACCGAGGAACUGCGCUUCAUACUGCAUGGCUUGAGGGAGACAGGGGGUAAGCGGAACUGAUGGUGGAGCGGUGAAAUGCGUUGAUAUCAUCAGGAACACCGGUGGCGAAGGCGGCUUACUGGUCCGGUACUGACGCUGAGGUGCGAAAGCGUGGGGAGCAAACAGG
rnacentral:rRNA from 1 species